rnacentral:sRNA from 1 species
AUGAUGAGUAGGUGGUCCUUCACUACUCUUAACAAGUGCCACAUGAUCAAAAGUGAACACUUUGUUUGGCUUUUCAUACACCAAUGUUUAUUCUUGACGAUUGAAUGAAAUAAAUCAAACGAAAACAAUAGAAAUGAAUCAUCAAACAAAGAUGUGAAUUUGACUAAGAGCACCUUUUUUUUACUCCGCUCCAAUACGGUGCGUUCGGAAGCGGACGAGGAAUGAAGAAAGAACGCACGAGAUGACGUUUCGAUGGAGUGCACUGAACUACUGAAGUGGGUGACGAUGACAGCAAUGAAAACAGCGCACUUUCUUCCUUCAAUUUGCGCACUUGGGCUCUGAUUUUUUGCCAUUGCCGGAACUGGGUGCUACCUGAAAUCUCUCUGCAACCACAAAGCCUUCAACUUUUUAGGUUCCUUUUGUUUCACUUUUCUUGAUUCCUGAGGCCAUAUUCUUCUCAUCUUCUAUCUCCAUGCUUUUGUAUUGUGAGAUCUCCAGUAACGGGGUCCCUUGAAGAAUAAUAAUUGCUGAGAGAGUGAGAGGCACCUUUGUUUGUGUGACUUUAUGAUUCACUGGACCUUCACCUCCUGACGGAAAAAUACCAGGGGCCAUUUGGCAUCGUCCUAGAAUCUCCUUUACCUGUUAUGGAAUAUAUUAAAGCGACGAAAAGAGCUUCAAGUACAGCAGCUGGUUAAAGAGAAAGGGAUAUGUUAGUCCAAUGGAGGAGAGGCCAAUGCUUGCUCAGGAAGAACCCUCCACCACCACCAUGAUACUAGACCCAGCCUCUUGUGGGUCCCACCGCCACCGGUGCUGUCUUUCGACUAACCAUUUUAGCUGAAGGAAUGAUGAGAGUAACAACCUGAUUAGUGAAAAUGUUUCCCCCAUGCUAACGGUUUUAGGAUCAAAUGCUUGAACAGUCUCGACGGUGCAGCCUCUAGUUUGUUGAUAUCGUUAAUGUGUUAAGAAAUACUUAAAUUAGUACUUGAACUUUGAAUCCUGGGGCAUUUGUUUAUGUAUGCAGCAGGCAGAGCAAGUGAAUGUUAAGCACUGGGAUGGCAAGUCUUUGGAAGAUGAAUAAUCAUUGGAUUUUGAUUCCCGUGAUCAAACUCUUGACCACAACCCAAGAAAUCCCGAGAUCAAUCCGAUUCCGAUUGACUUUUACGAUUUGUUGUUGGCCACUGUGAUUUGUGGCCUCCUUUUCUCUUUUCUUUUUCUCUUUUGUGAUCAAAAUUUUCUUUAUAUUCAGUUGGUUUUGGAUAUGGAUUACAGAUUUAAAGCUAACAAUCCCAUUGGAAUAUAUUUCUUUUUGAGACUUUUGUGCAGAGAGAGAGAGCCCUGGUGAG